UUUGAGUGUGAAUAAGUGAACUAAAAUUAUUAUAAGUUAUGGUCUUUAAAAUUAAAAAAUUUGGCGGUAUUUUAGUCUAUUCAGAGGAACCUGUUUUUUAAUUGAUAGUCCACGAUAAUUUGUACUUUAACUUUAAAUUUAUAUAUCGUCGUUAAUAAAAAUUUUAGGAAAAUUUAAAUUUUUAGUAUUUUUUAUUAGAAUUGAAUUCAGAUCAAGGUGUAGUUUAUGUUAAAGUUAGAAUGGGUUACAUUAUAUUUAUAUGUGGUUUUUUAAUUUAAAAUUAAAUUUAAAAUGGAUUUGAUAGUAAAUUCUUUGUUUUUGAGAGUUGAUUUAGCUCUAAAAUAUGC
rnacentral:rRNA from 1 species